CUCGUUGCGAAACGACUGAAAACAUUUUCAGCCUCAAUUGCAUUCGUUUGGACGGAGGAUGGAGGAACAGGCGCGGGAACAGGAACCACUGCCAGGAGGGAAGCCAAAGGCAGACAUUCAGCCCGCCAGAAGAUUGCGAAAAACGCCCAAAGGCGCAGGCCAAGGAUGCUGGGAUGCUAGGUUGCUGGGAUGUGAGUGCCGGUGGAAGGGGAUCCUGCGAUGGUGAGCCUGUGAAUUUGUCAAAGAGUUGUGCAAACAUUCGGGGGAACGGGUAGCCGAAAACAAGAGCAACAACAAAUCGAAUGCAAUCAAAAUUAAAGCGCUUAGAGCUGUGACAACAGCGGAGCAAACAAUCGCCGAGCCGUAGUAAGGAGCGCAAUCCUUUCGGGGAUUUCGCACAAAGCAUCCCUGGGAUGUCCUGCCGGCAAUUUAAGCGAAUUAAAACGGAGUUCGUAUUGAUUUAGGCUAUUUUUUUUUUCUGCCCAGCUCCGAAUAAAAACGAAAUACCCGACGAAGGACGAAGAAAUCUCCUGCUGUGGCUUAAGAAAAAGAAAUUAUAUAUAGAGUAUACACAGUGUAUUGAAGAAAACAGAGUAAGCUAAGGGGGAAAACAUGCAAACAAAAACAAAAUUACGGC
ensembl:ncRNA lncRNA:CR44848 long non-coding RNA:CR44848